CUGGGAGAAUUUGCUGAGGAUUGAUGUGGAGAGGACCCCAGGCCCAAGGGUAUUGCUGUCAUCCACCAGGAUGGAGAAGAUGACAAGACACAGGUGGAAUUCAUGGUGGAUUCUUUUGAUGGGGAUUUUCCUGCUUUGAAAGGAAAUUAUAGGACGUUUUCAAUGUGGAACAGGGCUGAGGCUCUGACUGCUGCCCUAAGAAAAAAGUGAACGACAACACAGUACAGUGUGAUAAUUACCCAUAAGAGCCCAGGAAGCUGAUCAAAAUGAAAAUAAAUGGAACAAAUACCGACGUAAUUUUCUGUUUUGGGCUGACAUUUGGGGA